rnacentral:miRNA from 1 species
CUUAAAGAAAAGUUUAGCUGGGCAGUGGUGGCACACACCUUUAAUCCCAGUACUUGAGAGAUAGAGGCAGGCAGAUCUCUG